rnacentral:tRNA from 1 species
UAUAUUUUAGUAUAGGAUGUAUAAAAGUUUUUGAAACUUUAGGUAAUAGUUUAAUUCUAUUAAAUGUAA